UUUCCCGACCCCACCCGUCCUGUGUGCUCUCUCAGCCCUCUGCUGGAUGUACGGUAGAUGGAGUCCUCGGUGUAUACAUGACAUUAAACACGUAAAACACCGGAACAGGUGUUAGAGCGACAUCUGUCACUCGUCAGUUUGUGAUGCUACAGCUUCAACUAUGGAAAAGAGCCAACGGUUGACAACAUAUAAUCAGUUCCUCCUCUAAGUGAAAGGGAACAGCGGAUAUCCGGACCAUGGGUUGUAACGGGAAGCCAGACCGCCUGAGCUACGCCCGCCUUGUUGAGAACAUCAACAAUAACCCAAAAAGAACAUCAUGGUGACAUCUGUGGUGAGGCAGGCGGGUCAGCCACUUAUGUUUACAUGCGGACCAUAAUAUGUAACGUCGACGUCAUCACUCGACAUUCAGCGGAAGGAUGCGGGAGCCUUGAAGCGUACCAAGGGGGGAAGCACCAGCUCCAACCUCUUAGUAUUUACGCUAUGACCUACAUGCAUGCAACUUAGGCUGUGACAGUCAAGGUAUUAUAUGUCACUAUCAGUAUGUGUGUGUGCCUGACGGUUGGUCCUCAACAGCAGCAGCCAGGGGGACAGGAACAGGAACAGGAACUGCUCACGGGUGAAUGUCUCAACAGACCAAACACAACAACCAAAGACAUCAGCCUGUGACAGAGAAGCUGCAGCUUAAUGAGAACAACAACACAGUGCUUUUCCAUUUGAAUUAAAAAAACAAAAAAACAAUCAAUCUGCUUAGUUUGGAAAAGAAGUUGUUUAUUUAAGGUAGAGAAAAAUGCCAUCUUUAAGUAAAGACUAAAAAGGGGGAGUCCAUACCAGCGGUGAAGACGUAAUGAGAUCAUGUACAGGAUAUUGAAAAUGCACUUAACUUAUCAAAAGCAAAAGUCCCCUUUUUGCACAAACUUGCCCCUGUGACUGAUAUAUUACCACAUUAUUAGAUUAUAUACUGAUGCAUUAAUACUUUUAUGUAGCAUUUUACUGUUGUAGCUGGUUGAGUUGGAGCUAGUUUUAACCAUGUUACACAAAGUAAUCUAGUUGAGUCAGGCCCAUCCAAAGGGUCACAAGAUAAAUCUGAGGCGUCAUGAGAUGACUAGUGUGGAAGGAAAGAAGGAAAGUUUUACACAAUUCUUUAUGGACAGGUAUUUAAAGGAAAGUAUCUGAGAAGUUUAAAAGGGAAAUGUGUCUUUAGUGUAACUGCUAACAACCACUGACAGGAGGCCGCAACUAAAUGUAGCUUAUUAGUGAGGGGUCGCAAGCUAAAAGAAGUUGGGAAUUACUGGUUUAAUCUUUGAUGAAUAGUUCAAUAUUUAGGGAAAUAAGCUCAUUUGCUUUGUUGCAGAGACUUAGGCGAGAGGAUUUUUAACAAAUACUCUCAAAUCUGCUAAAUAUCAAGCUACCACUAGUUAGCUUAGCCUAGCACAAAGAUUAGAAACAGCUAGCCUGGUUCUAUCCAAAGAUAAGAAAUUCCACCUGCCAGCACCUUUAAAUCUCAUUGAUUAAUGUUCGUACAAAAACUGGAAGCGUACAGACAGGACAGUAACUCGACUGGUUUUUACAGUUUCUGUACAGAUUAAACUGAAGAUAUGUAUAAAUCACUGAUACAGCCAGGCUAGCUGUUCCCUCCUGUUUGUUGUUGUGGUUUAUUCUAAACUAAGCUAAGCAUCUCACCAGCUGCUGUUUUUAGCUUCAUAUUUACUACACAGAGUGGUAUAGAUCUUCUCUUCUAACUCCCAACAAGAAAGCAAAUACAUAUUUCCCAAAAAUGUCCAACAAUUCCUUUAAUAGUUGUAUUUUACAAGCUUGUGUUUUUUUUUUAUUUUAUCAGUAUUACUCUAGUAAGUAACUAGUAACUAUAGCAGUCAGAUAAAUACAAUAGAGUCAUGAAGUCUAGUAGAGUAAAAGUCAGAUAAAGUGGAAAUACUCAAGUACUGAAAAAUGUACUUAAGUACAGUACUUGAGUAAAUGUGCUGAGUUACAUUCCAACACUGGUCGAUACUGAAAGCUGUGUAAGUCUCAUACACUCCCCCAGUGUUUUUAGUUUUGAAACGAUAAGGGCAUGAAGAGACAUGGUACACCUGAUGGUGUACUCACACUUCUUGGUAUCAUUUUUCCAUUGUACAACUUUGGUGUUUGUGGUGACUCAGACUUUGCAGAGUCACGCUUGGAAAGACCUGACUCCCUUCGCAUUCAGGAAUUUCCUGAUCCUCGCUUGGCUCCCUGCGAAAA